UCCCUGGUGGUCCAGUGGCUAAGACUCCAUGCUUUCAGUGCAGGGUCCCAGGUUCAAUUCCUGGUCAGGGAA
rnacentral:tRNA from 1 species